GUCUCGGUAGCUCGGUGGUUUGCGCUUUUGGCUAGCAACCCAGGGCUCGCGGGUUCGAAUUUCCGCAUCGGAAG